UGCAGAGUUUCAAGAUCUGCAAACAACUGUCGUGACAUCUGUAAGUUGAUAUCAUUUCAAACUUGAAGUCUUUUACGUUGCCCUCUUUUGCCUCUCGUCCUUCGAUACCCUUGCGAUGCAUUCCAUAUUACUUGAGACGUCAUUUUUCUGAACCUUUAACUUCAGAGGGAUUUGCAUUGAUUCCAUCCAUUUUUAAGGGGUUGUCCAUCUUUUAAAAUUGUGUAUGCUGUUCCCAUAGUGCGAUGCGAUCUUCCUGGAGGCCUAUGGGUCGAUUUUCAUCACCACCCUUGUCCUUGGAUUCAGGUAAAUGAUCCUUCUUAAAUAACCAAAUUUUCCAUAUGAAUAUAGGUCCUUUUGACAAAUUUCAAUCAUUGUUCUAAUUUCUGAAAAGUAGCAAUUUUACCGAUGUAGUUUAGGGUCAAUCACAACGCACAAUGAUAAAGGCUAAUUGAAACGAUCUAAACAAUACUAUUCAGAUCCAGGCACCAUAGGGUCAAAGAAUAAGUUCUGUUGUAUGCAUUAUAAGCUAAACAUGAUGGUAUAUGUUCCCGAACUGUAAGCUAGAGCAUCAAGCUUUCAAGUUGUAUUCAAGUUGAAUGGUCUCAUAAUGAUGGCAAUCUGUUUUUCAGCCCGUCCAUCGAUGGAAACACUACAAUAGAGGUGGAGCUUGUUUUCAAUAACACAGCAUCACCUGAAGUGACCGUUUCAACUGCCGAUGUACUGGAGACCAUGACGACGGCAGCAACCAACACCUCCGCUGGCGGAAUCUCCUUUGAUCCUGAAUCUAUUGUUGUCACAGAAACGCCAACCCCAACGACAGCACCAACAACAACUACGGCAACUCCAGAACCCUCAGUUCCUACUGUGUCUUUCACGGUAGAGGCUACAAUAUCAAAGCCUUUCACUCCAGAGUUAACAGACCAAACGACUGCAGAGUUUCAAGAUCUGCAAACAACUGUUGUGACAUCUGUAAGUUGAUAUCAUUUCAAACUUGAAGUCUUUUACGUUGCCCUCUUUUGCCUCUCGUCCUUCGAUACCCUUGCGAUGCAUUCCAUAUUACUUGAGACGUCAUUUUUCCGAACCUUUAACUUCAGAGGGAUUUGCAUUGAUUCCAUCCAUUUUUAAGGGGUUGUCCAUCUUUUAAAAUUGUGUAUGCUGUUCCCAUAGUGCGAUGCGAUCUUCCUGGAGGCCUAUGGGUCGAUUUUCAUCACCACCCUUGUCCUUGGAUUCAGGUAAAUGAUCCUUCUUAAAUAACCAAAUUUUCCAUAUGAAUAUAGGUCCUUUUGACAAAUUUCAAUCAUUGUUCUAAUUUCUGAAAAGUAGCAAUUUUACCGAUGUAGUUUAGGGUCAAUCACAACGCACAAUGAUAAAGGCUAAUUGAAACGAUCUAAACAAUACUAUUCAGAUCCAGGCACCAUAGGGUCAAAGAAUAAGUUCUGUUGUAUGCAUUAUAAGCUAAACAUGAUGGUAUAUGUUCCCGAACUGUAAGCUAGAGCAUCAAGCUUUCAAGUUGUAUUCAAGUUGAAUGGUCUCAUAAUGAUGGCAAUCUGUUUUUCAGCCCGUCCAUCGAUGGAAACACUACAAUAGAGGUGGAGCUUGUUUUCAAUAACACAGCAUCACCUGAAGUGACCGUUUCAACUGCCGAUGUACUGGAGACCAUGACGACGGCAGCAACCAACACCUCCGCUGGCGGAAUCUCCUUUGAUCCUGAAUCUAUUGUUGUCACAGAAACACCAACCUCAACGACAGCACCAACAACUACGGCAACUCCAGAACCCUCAGUUUCUACUGUGUCUUUCACGGUAGAGGCUACAAUAUCAAAGCCUUUCACUGCAGAGUUAACAGACCAAACGACUACAGAGUUUCAAGAUCUGCAAACAACUGUUGUGACAUCUUGCGAUGCGAUCUUCCUGGAGGCCUAUGGGUCGAUUUUCAUCACCACCCUUGUCCUUG